rnacentral:misc_RNA from 1 species
GAACUGCGAUAAGUAAUGUGAAUUGCAGAAUUCAGUGAAUCAUCGAGUCUUUGAACGCACAUUGAGCCCCCUGGCAUUCCGGGGGGCAUGCCUGUCCGAGCGUCAUUGCUGCCCUUCAAGCCCGGCUUGUGUGUUGGGUCGUCGUCCCCUCCGGGGGACGGACCCGAAAGGCAGCGGCGGCACCGCGUCCGGUCCUCGAGCGUAUGGGGCUUUGUCACCCGCUCGAUAAGGACCGGCCGGGCGCCAGCCGGCGUCUCCAACCUUUUUUUCUCAGGUUGACCUCGGAUCAGGUAGGGAUACCCGCUGAACUUAAGC